GAUGAACGCUGGCGGCGUGCCUAAUACAUGCAAGUCGAGCGAACGGACGAUAAGCUUGCUUCUCUGAUGUUAGCGGCGGACGGGUGAGUAACACGUGGAUAACCUACCUAUAUGACUGGGAUAACUUCGGGAAACCGUAGCUAAUACCGGAUAAUAUUUUGAACCGCAGGGUUCAAAAGUGAAAGACGGUCUUGCUGUCACUUAUAGAUGGUUCCGCGCUGCAUUAGCUAGUUGGUAAGGUAACGGCUUACCAAGGCAACGAUGCAUAGCCGACCUGAGAGGGUGAUAGGCCACACUGGAACUGAGACACGGUCCAGACUCCUAAGGGAGGCAGCAGUAGGGAAUCUUGCGCAAUGGGCGAAAGCCUGACGGAGCAACGCCGCGUGAGUGAUGAAGGUCUUCGGAUCGUAAAGCUCUGUUAUUAGGGAAGAACAUAUGUGUAAGUAACUGUGCACAUCUUGACGGUACCUAAUCAGAAAGCAACGGCUAACUACGUG
rnacentral:rRNA from 1 species